rnacentral:rRNA from 1 species
AGAGUUUGAUCCUGGCUCAGAAUCAACGCUGGCGGCGUGCCUCAGACAUGCAAGUCGAACGAUUAAGACUUCCUUCGGGAAGUGCAUAAAGUGGCGCACGGGUGAGUAACACGUAAGUAAUCUACCCUCGAGUGGGAAUAACGUUCGGAAACGGACGCUAAUACCGCAUAACGCAGCGGCACCGCAAGGUGACAGUUGUUAAAGGAGCAAUCCGCUUGAGGAGGAGCUUGCGGCAGAUUAGCUAGUUGGUAGGGUAAUGGCUUACCAAGGCUACGAUCUGUAUCCGGUCUAAGAGGACGGUCGGACACACUGACACUGAAUAACGGGUCAGACUCCUACGGGAGGCAGCAGUCGGGAAUUUUGGGCAAUGGGCGAAAGCCUGACCCAGCAACGCCGCGUGAAGGAUGAAGUAUUUCGGUAUGUAAACUUCGAAAGAAUAGGAAGAAUAAAUGACGGUACUAUUUAUAAGCUCCGGCUAACUACGUG